rnacentral:rRNA from 1 species
CCUACGGGUGGCAGCAGUGGGGAAUAUUGCACAAUGGGGGAAACCCUGAUGCAGCGACGCCGCGUGAGUGAAGAAGUAUCUCGGUACGUAAAGCUCUAUCAGCAGGGAAGAAAAUGACGGUACCUGACUAAGAAGCCCCGGCUAACUACGUGCCAGCAGCCGCGGUAAUACGUAGGGGGCAAGCGUUAUCCGGAUUUACUGGGUGGAAAGGGAGCGUAGACGGCGGAGCAAGUCAGAAGUGAAAGCCCUGGGCUUAACCGCGGGACUGCUUUUGAAACUGUGUAGCUAGAGUGCAGGAGAGGUAAGUGGAAUUCCUAGUGUAGCGGUGAAAUGCGUAGAUAUUAGGAGGAACACCGGUGGCGAAGGCGGCUUACUGGACUGUAACUGACGUUGAGGCUCGAAAGCGUGGGGAGCAAACAGGAUUAGAUACCCCAGUAGUC